UUUUUUCAACAAGCUCUCUGUAUUUUUAUGAACAAGCUUUUUAUUUUUCUAUUUAUUUUUCAAAACUCUCUGGCAAGUACAGAGAAUAAUUUUCCAUUGGGGAGAAAUGGUGGAAGAUGUUGGAAGAAAUGAUUUUCCAAGUGGAACCUAGACUUUGAUGCGAUUGUUGGCAAAGAAAGGAUGUGGAUUAACCCAUCAUGUACUGGGUUCUCAUAGGGGAUUUAUUUUUUUC
rnacentral:lncRNA from 1 species